rnacentral:sRNA from 1 species
UAGAGAGCGAGUUCUAGGACAGCCAAGGCUACACGAAGAAACCCUGUCUCAAAAAUCAAAAUAAAAGUACACAAAACAGCCCCUGGCUCCUACAGUAUAUUCAAUAAACAGUGCUAUUAUCAUUAUUUGCUGAGUCUUACAUUGCAUGCAUUUUUCUCUGAACAUAUAUUAUAAUAUAAUUAUAUGUAAAUAUGUUUUUAUAUAUAAAUAUAUAAUAAUUAUAAUUUGACACAGCUGUUACAGAAAAAAAUCUGUAUAUUUCAAGAACACUAUAGACUCUUCAGCGUAUAGGGCCUAAGUUAAAUCCUAGUUUUUAAUUAAACACUAAUAUGCUUAAUUAAUUAUUCUUCCCAUUGUCUUUUUGUUUUGUUUUGUUUUUCCAAUUUACAAAGACACAAACCAGGUAUGUUAAGUUUACAUUGGGAACAUACAUAAAUAUAUACUAAUAAUGAAAUUUUAUUUCAAAAUUAUCCUUAAGCUAAACAACUGCCAUCAGUUCUGAUAUCAAGGGUUAGGCUUCGCUGGUGGCACAUGCUUUUAAUCCCCACACAGAGGAUUUCAAGCUUGGCCUGCCUGUCCUUUUGGAAAAGAGGGAGAACGGAGAUGUUUGGCUUAAAACACUCAAAUGUUGCCAGCCUACCCAACUGAGAUGAGUUGGUAACUCGGAGUUAAACCUCAGAAAAAGACAGUUCUAAGGACUUUCCCUUUCGUCCUGCUGGGCCUCCUGGGAGACCUAACUACAUUAGGCUUGACCUUGGCAGAACCUAAACCCCUGGCGGGUCAAGGAUUACGCACGCUGAGGAAGGUGAAUUUUUUCUCCCCGCUUUCAAGCACUGAGUGACAAGAGCCACGGGGUAGAGCCUGGGAGAAUUAAAGUCGCUAAGACCCAUCAGCCUAGGCUCGCGAGCUCCGGAUCCACAGCUGUCACGGCAGCUCUUGCAGGACGCCAGAGCUGAGGGAAAUGCCGACUCGGCCUCCAUCUGUCUGACAGCAUCAGCCACGUGGAAUUGGAGGAGCCCCGGAAUCCGCUCUCUAAACCAGCGCCAGGCCCACGACUGACCGGAGAACUCAGAGAACAAUCGCUUCACCCGCCAGCCCGCUAUUCCGGAGCCGGCUCAGCCGCUCACAGGCCACACCGCGCUUCAACCAAACCUGGCCCUUAGUCCCGCCUCACUACUCAGCGCGGAUUGGUGGUAGGGAUAAACUCUGUCGCUGAUUGGACAACAGCGAAGUCGCUCCCGCAGACCGUAGCGUCUGGCCGCAGUGGAGCCCUAAGUGUACCUUCAGACCCUAGGCCGCUCCUUGCGAGAGUCGAGCCCUUUGAGGUGGCUUAGGUGGUCCCCCCCUUCCCGAGUUGACAGCAUCACCCCGUCCCGUAUCUUCCUCCCCUCUGUUUUGUUUUUCAUCUCUCCCUCCUGUCUCCAGUCUGCGACGACUGGCCCCAUAGAUCCUCGCUGAAGGUGAGGAGCUGAGUCGCUGGCGAGUGGGCCGCUCCGAAAUGGCCGCUGCCUUGAGCUGUCUAAAAUGGCGGUCUCGUGCUCGGCUGGGGACCGCGACUCUGCUCUGCAGCCCAGCCGCGGCCGAGACGGUAGGCCGAUGGAGAUGGAGUAGAAAGGUGUCGGGUGUUGACACGACUUCAUUGUCGACAGCACCGGCGACAUCCCGAGCGAGAGGAAUCCUGAGGCAAUGGCUUCUGGUUACUCCCAUUCCCACCCUAUUCCUUAAUUUUAUUCUUUUGAAGAGUCUGCAUUUCAAGCUAUCACGUUGGAGAGAGUGAUUACAGAAAGAAGUGUUCAUUGUUUCAGGUAUCUUACCUACUAGCUGUUAACAGGAGAGUCAUUUUGAUUGAAGAUCUAAAAGGAUAGGAUAGAGCUUAAUCCUUAACCACAUGACAUUUGAACCAACAGGAGCAAUCUCUAUACCUUUACAAAUUCAAACCUUAGGAAACAGUAUUCAUUAUUGGUCUGAAGUUUGCAUUAUCCUUGAGUUUUCUUUUAUUACAUGAGAGAAAAAUCUAUUAAAGUGAGUUUAUAUUUUCUUAAGAUUCUGAUCUUGGCACAAUAAUAGGCAGAGUAACUAGUAACAAUGUGCAUUACUUGAAAUAAAUCUCAACUCAGAUAAUGUAAGUAUAUAUUAUAUGUACUUUUAAGUCUGGAGAAAUAGUGUCUACUUUUUGGUCUGCAGUUUACUUUUUAUUGUUAACACAUAAUGCUUAGAAUACAGUAGAGCUCUCUGUCUUGGAGCAGCAUGUAUUUUUAAUACAGCUUAUUAGAAUUGUUGAAGCUCUGAAGGGAGACUUCUGAUAUAUAAUAUUAUCAACAUUGAGUACAUCUAGUGGCAAUAGUUAUCAGAAAGAUAAAAGAAACUUUAAAAUAUUAUACAUUGUGAGAUAAGGUUGGUAAAUUAUAGCCCACGAAGUCUGUUUUGGUACAUAAAAGUUUUAUUGGAACACCCACCCAUUCUUUGAUCUGUUGUUAUGCUCUAACUACAGAGUUGAAUAGUUUCAACAGAGCCUGUGUGACCAACAAAGCAAGCAUUUUUACUGUAUGGUCUUAAAUAUUUAUUAACCCUUGCCAUGGAAGAUGUUUCUAAAGAACCCUUCCUUUAAAAUGUACACACAAACUCAUUAUUAUUUCUUACCCUACUAGUUUCCAGAUUCUUUUAGAAUGUUAAUAUUCUCUGCAUGUUUUGAGAAAAAAAAUGACACUACCAAUAAUAGUUUUUCUUUAUAGUUUUAAUAUGAUUUGAAUGUAAUUUUAAGACUACUAAACACAUUUCUAUAAUUUUUAUUUUUAUGUGACAAUCUACCUUUAAGAAAGAUGUGCUAUAUCAGGGAGCACUAGGAAGUUGUAUGAGAGGUCACCUGGUAACAGAAGUGAUGGUCCAUCUUCAUGAGCCAGAUGCAUAGGUAGUAUUAACAAAUUAACUUAUGUGCUGCCGUCCAUCCUCACUCAUCUUUGUUUCUUGUCUUAUUAUUUCAAAACAUUUGUGAUACUCCGUGUUAAAACUAACCAUGUUUUAUACCACAAACUCAUUACCCUUGGAUCUUUGGCUGAAACAAGGAAAUCUUAAAUAAGAAGUAGACUGGUUUGUUACCAACUUGUAUCUUAAUCAGAAUGCCAAAAGGUUGGUAUAAUACAAACUAAAGACGGGGUUGGGGAUUUAGCUCAGUGGUAGAGCGCUUGCCUAGCAAGCGCAAGGCCCUGGGUUCGGUCCCCAGCUCCGAAAAAAAAAAAAAGAAAGAAAGAAAAAAAAAUACAAACUAAGGACGAACCACUGUAAUCUUCAGUUUCUGGAAAAUCAGAAAAUGAGCUUUCCAGGGUCAAAUGUUGUCACUUCCAAUAAAAUAGCAACAUUUUGUUAAAAAAAAAAAAAAGAAAGAAAAUAUGAAAAAUUAUUUGUCCUUUGCAUGCAUUUAUUUACUUUGGAAAUUGAAAUGCACCUCAUGCUUAGUGUGUACUCUGUAAGAAAAUUGUAUCCAAUAGCUCUUUAGCCUCUAGUAUGCUUGAAGACAUCAGAAACUAAACACUCUGUGUAUAGGACAAAGACAUCAUCUUUUUCAAGCAGUAUCUUGAUUUACCUGAAAAUGGAAAACCUCCAACACCUAAGAUUGUCAAUCCAGAGAAGGAAAGUGCUACAGAAGCAUCAUACAAUGUAAGUUACAACAUAGCCCUGAGUGGAGAGGUUCAGACUGUUGGAGAAUUGCUUAUUAAACCUUGUGCAAAAGAUGUCAUGAUGCGGUGUCUGAUGAACAGUACAGUAGUAGGUGCAGCACAACUCUCGAACAGCACCAUGGCCAUCGGACUCAAGCUCUAGCUGCGAUACUGCAGAAGAACUUGUUAGGACACUGAGAAUUUGUGAUGGGUCGUCACUGCAACUAGAUGAGUCAGCUGAUGGUUCAGGACUUGCUGUGCUGUGCUUAUUGGUUAUAGGUUUAAUAAAUCUACCAAGGAGGACCUACUCUUACAUGAAUCUUUACAGAGUAACAGAACUAGUGAAGAAAUAGUCAACUGUAUCAACAAUUUUCUGCAGAGACAUGAAAUUGAAUGGAAGAAAUGUGUUGAUGUUUGCAGUGAUGCUUGUAGGGUAGUGGAUGGGAAAAUUGCUGAGGCUGUCACCUUAAAACAUGUAGUUCCAGAAAGAACCAGUAGUCACUGCCUAUUAUAUCGGCACACAUUAGCAGUUAAAAUAAUGCCCCUAUCUGUAAAAAAUGUGCUAAAUCAAGCAGUACACAGUAUCAAUUUCAUUAAAGCUCGAUCACAUCAAUCCCAGUUACUAGAAAUCUUAUGUGAAGAAAUGGGUGCUCUGCACAUAGCUCUUCUGAGUAUAGAAAUAAGGUGGCUUUCUCCGGGUAAAGUUCUUAUAAGGCUUUUUGAGCUUCGGCUUGAACUGUUGGUUUUUGUGGAUUCUGCUUUUUGACUAUCUGAUUUCUUAACAAACUUUGCUGCUAAGACUUGCAUACCUUGCUGAUAUUUUUACUAAAUUGAAUGAUGUUAAUAUAUCAAUGCCAGAAAAGAAUGUUCCAAUGUUUACAGUGUUUGAUAAAGUAUCUUCAGUAAGAGAAGAAGAAAACUUGGUUUUCCUACACUCUGAAUUUUUGACCGAGAUUAAUUCUACAGUGGAUAAAGAUAUCUGCAGUGCUAUCAGGCAGCAUCUAAAGGGUUUUCUUCUUGGGGUUGAGGAUUUGGCUCAGUGGUAGAGCGCUUGCCUAGCAAGCGCAAGGCCCUGGGUUCGGUCCCCCCCCCCGGGAAAAAAAAAAAAAAGGGUUUUCUUCUCGACUCUUUUAAAAUAUUUUUCUGUGACAAGUGAUAAUAAUACUUGAGUUAGAAAUCCAUUUAUGGUAACUGUUAAACCAGCCUCAUUAGUAGCUCAGAACCAUGAGAGCCUGAUUGAUUUAACAUCUGAAUCCCAAGUGAAGGAAAAUUUCAGUGAACUGACACUGAAUGAUUUUUGGAGUAGCCUAAUUCAAGAAUAUACAACAUUGCAAGAUGUGCUGUUCACGUCUUCUUCCUUUUACAGCAAUGCACCUGUGUGAAACAGGGUUUCAUGUUAUGCUGACACAAAACCAAAAUAUAGGAAAAGACUUAAUGCUGUGGCUCAUAUGUGGAUCUGCCUUAGCAACAUCAUACCUAAUAUUAAACCAAUAUAUGGCAAAAGACGGGGAAACACUGUUCUCAUCAAAAUUGAAUGACUUUGCAUGUCUAUUGUUAAUGUAAGGUGAAAAUAAAAGAUGAAUUCAUCUCUAAUACUGAGAUUUUAAGAAACUGAGUCAAAAAUUCAAA